rnacentral:rRNA from 1 species
GACGAACGCUGGCGGCGUGCUUAACACAUGCAAGUCGAACGAAGUGGCGAACGGGUGAGUAACGCGUAAUCAACCUGCCCUUCAGAGGGGGACAACAGUUGGAAACGACUGCUAAUACCGCAUACUGAAGGCGGAGAUUGCGUCGGAUUAGCUAGUUGGCGGGGGAACGGCCCACCAAGGCGAUGAUCAGUAGCCGGGCUGAGAGGAUGAACGGCCACAUGGGGACUGGUAAACGGCCCAGACUCCUACGGGAAGCAGCAGUGGGGAAGCUUCCGCAAUGGACGAAAUGCUGACGGAGCAACUCCGCGGGAGUGAUGACGGCCUUCGGGGUGUAAAGCUCUGUUAAUCGGGACGCGGUACCGGAAGAGAAAGCCACGGCUAACUACGUGCCAGCAGCCGCGGUAAUAC